UGGGGAAUAUUGCACAAUGGGCGCAAGCCUGAUGCAGCCAUGCCGCGUGUAUGAAGAAGGCCUUAGGGUUGUAAAGUACUUUCAGCGGGGAGGAAGGUGAUAAGGUUAAUACCCUUGUCAAUUGACGUUACCCGCAGAAGAAGCACCGGCUAACUCCGUGCCAGCAGCCGCGGUAAUACGGAGGGUGCAAGCGUUAAUCGGAAUUACUGGGCGUAAAGCGCACGCAGGCGGUCAAUUAAGUCAGAUGUGAAAGCCCCGAGCUUAACUUGGGAAUUGCAUCUGAAACUGGUUGGCUAGAGUCUUGUAGAGGGGGGUAGAAUUCCAUGUGUAGCGGUGAAAUGCGUAGAGAUGUGGAGGAAUACCGGUGGCGAAGGCGGCCCCCUGGACAAAGACUGACGCUCAGGUGCGAAAGCGUGGGGAGCAAACA
rnacentral:rRNA from 2 species